AGGAGACCUCCUCCAAGUUGGGGGAGGCGCCCCACACAGUCCUGACAUCAAGGGCUUUCCUCAGAAACACCCCAGCUGGGGGCUUUCUUUUGACUCACAGCACUUUCAGCCAGGAUGUUCAUGAGCCUGGGGUCCAUUGUUUGUGAAGUCAACUGGAUUCCAAGUUUAAACAUGCAGAGGAAAGGAGGAGUUCCUCAAGCACCUCUGAACUCCAGCAGCUCUGGAAUAUUCCCAUUUCAACAUUCCCACCUGCGCUCCGUCCUCCCUCCUGCCUCUUCCAUCAUAGGGGAUGAGAUGUGUCCUUUUCAAAGGGUGUGAGGAACAACUGUUAUGCACAGAACUAAGGUUAGAAAACACCUUGUAAGUCAACUGAUUAACAAGCACAUGGUCUGGAGAUCAGAAGUCCAAAAAAUGGGUCUCACUGAGCUACAAUCAAGGUGUCAACAGGCUGUGUCCUUUCCUGGAGGCUCUGGGAGAGAAUCGGUAUCCUUGCUCUUUUCCCACUUCGAGAGGCUGCCACAUUCCUUGGCUGGUGGCUCCUUCCUCCAUCUUCAAAGCCAGCGACAGAUGGUGAAUGGAGUCCUUUCACGUGGCUCACUCUGCCCUUGUUCCUGCUGUCACAUCCCCCCUUCUCUGUCUGACUUUUCUGUCCCCUUCCUCCACUCUUGUCAUUACCUUGGGCCCAUCUGAAAAUCCUGGAUCGUCCCCCUAAUUAAAGUCAGUGGACUAGCAACUUUAAUUCCAUCUGCAACCUUAGUUCCCUUCUGUCAUGUAGCCUAACCUCAUCACGAGUGUCAGGGAUUUGCACGUGGACAUCCUCAGGGACCCCAUCGUGAGUGGUUGGGGGGAUGUGGCCAGAAAGAAGGCAGUGGCAGAAUGCCCAAGAACUCUGCAGCUGCGCUGAGGCAUCUGAGAGCCAAGGAGGAAACCUUCUUUGUGGUUAAGUAAGAAUGAACUAAUAUCCAUCUGGCAUUUGGCAUUUUACACUGCACUUUUUGUACAUUAUCUCAUUGGAUCUUAAAAACAGCUCAUUGUGAGAUGUGUUAAUAUUAUUCUUAUUUUAAGGUGGGGAAACCGAAAUCAAACAAUGUAGGUGACUUUUUUCAAGAUCACCCAGUGAGUGAUUCAGGACUUGGCCCAGGCUUUCUGGUCUACACUCACAGCCUUUCCUUCAUCCACAGAGGCAAGAUCUAGCAAUUGAAUUAGGUUGCCUGAAUACCAACCUUUGUAACCUCCUAUUGUUGGCUUAUU
ensembl:lncRNA novel transcript